GACGAACGCUGGCGGCGUGCCUAAUACAUGCAAGUCGAGCGAACUUAUGGGAGCUUGCUCCCGUAAAUUAGCGGCGGACGGGUGAGUAACACGUGGGCAACCUGCCUAUAAGACUGGGAUAACUUCGGGAAACCGGAGCUAAUACCGGAUAAUUCCUUUCCUCACAUGGGGGAAGGCUGAAAGAUGGUUUACGCUAUCACUUAUAGAUGGGCCCGCGGCGCAUUAGCUAGUUGGUGAGGAACGGCUCACCAAGGCAACGAUGCGUAGCCGACCUGAGAGGGUGAUCGGCCACACUGGGACUGAGACACGGCCCAGACUCCGUACGGGAGCAGCAGUAGGAAUCUUCCGCAAUGGACGAAAGUCUGACGGAGCAACGCCGCGUGAGUGAUGAAGGUUUUCGGAUACGUAAAACUCUGUUGUUAGGGAAGAACAAGUACCGGAGUAACUGCC
rnacentral:rRNA from 1 species